rnacentral:lncRNA from 1 species
GUGAGUGACCCCUGUCAUCAGAGGGGUGUGGCAGGUGGCCCUACAAGAGCUUCACAGCGCAAGUCAACUUCCCAUGAGCCCAGACAGGUCUACAGAUGUGGCUCUCCAGACUCUAUGUUGAGAGGAAUGUUGAGGCCAUACCUCAGAAGGAAAUCACACAGAGACAAAUAAGCAAGGCUGUGUGGGCCAGGAGGAGCAGGGGACAACCUGCCAAUUUGCCCCUAAGGGCGAGAAAUUGAAACUGGGGUUAGAGAGUUAGACAAGCACCUUGGAUAGAGCCCUAUAGUGUUUUUUGUUUUUGUUUGUUUGUUUGUUUGUUUUUUUACUGAGCAGGUCUUACUAUGGUAACACCUGGUCAUAAAAUUCUAAAAUCAUUUGUUUAGAAAAGGAUAUGGCAAUUCACUGAGCCCAGUUCCCCAGCCAUGGUCUCCAGCACACUUCCACUAAGAAGCCCCUAGCAAUGGAAGGUCAGCUGUCUCUAAAAGCUGUGCAUUCUAUCUUUGGAGAAAUGUGGACCUGAAACGUUUCUGCAGACAUCCUGGCCCUCCCUGAAAGUUUUACCCUAUGAGGGACUCAACAGAGUCCUUCCUCUAGGGUGCUGGGCAUGCCUUCGUUUCUCUAUUCUGUGAGUACUUGUGCUCAUGGGGCCUGCGCUGGGUGCUGAAGAGACAUUGCUCAGGAAAAUUCCACUGCCACAAAAAGUACAAGGAAAUAUGCUAUGCAAUCCUACCUUUAUGAAAUUUACAAUCUAGUAUAGGAGAUGAACUUAAAAUAAUUGUAAGGAAGCUGUGAACCAUUUCUGCAAUACAUGUUUAAGCGUGGAAGGGAGAGUUGCGAAGAAGGCAUUAACAGCAACUCACGGAAAGCUUCAGUGGGAAGGUGGGAUGUGAGCUGAGUCUUUUAGGAUGAGCAAAAUGUGAAAGGAGGAAAAGUGACGGAAGUAGAUGUUGCUUAACUCGCUCCAGACCUCACCUCCACUGUGCAAUGACACAGUGCUCACAAAUGGCUGGUGGAGACCCGAACUGGAGCCAGAGGCCAGGCAGGAUACUGCUUCGUGGGAGGAUGAAGAAGGGCUUUGUACUACCUGCCCCAACUUCGACACCAUUUGCAGAUGAAGCUCCAAGAAACAUGAAAACCAGACAGCUAUAGCGCUUUGGGUGGAGUGUGCUGCUGGGCACAGCAAAUAUAAAUGGCCUUAAAGAAAAAGCAGAAUGGACAAUGAAUGCCAUCCCUUAAAGCGACGUCUUUGCUGCAGCCUCUUCAUUUGCCCUCGGAUUAAUGCGUGAUAGUUUCCUGUCCCUGGUACUUGGGGCUGUGCAGUGAGGAAAUAUGAAGAAAGAAAAGAACUGAAGUGAGCUACCUUGGGGCCUUAGAGGGAAGGCCAGCAGUAUUGUCAACCCAUUUGGUUCUGCCAAAUCAUGAUGAAAGUAAUGGCCCAACCCGGCUGAGAGUAAGCCCCUGUGUUUCUCUGCAGCAGAUGACUGAGAAGCAGCCAGGCUGGUCCCCAUUCUGAGCUGCAGCCCAGCCUGCUCCUGUUCACUUCCUCUGUCGUUCUGGGAGGUUUGUCAGCUUGCACCUCUUCAGCUCCUUCAUGCUGACAUCAUGUUGGAAAAGCCACUUUACUUCUUAGAGAUUCAAAUAACCCAAGCCUUGCUUGACUUGCUUCUCAGGACAACAGAAUAGACACCAAUCAGAAACUCCAUGGCAGUGUGAACUGUUUUUACCUUCCAGGCCCUGCCUUUCUCUGCUGGCUGUCUUCAUCGGGAUCACACCAGAACUUCUAGCUUAUCACAUCUUUGCUUGACUAACUUCAAUUCAUCCUCUAAGACUUAGCUCAGGUAUGACCUGCCCUGGGAAGCUCCUUUGAGACCCUCACUGCCCUCCCAGGGCCAUAUGCUGAUUUUCUCUAUGACAAUUUUACAUUAAAGCCGUGUGCCCAUUUUGCCUACUAAACUUGGAGCUUGUUUUGCAGAGGGAAAUUCCCUAAUGAUCUUAAUGGUACUCUCUGUUAGCCUGAAGCCUGGUAUCCUGUAGACAUUGAUUCUUAUAAUAAUAUUGAUGAAUGAAUAAACAAAUGAGAAAUUGUGAAGAUGGGGCAUUAUCUUUCUAAUGAUCAUCACUGUAUUUGGUGUAACCAUUCAUAUUCAUUUAAUGCCAAGAUAUAGUAGCAAGUGCAAAGGUAUACUGCCAACUGUGUGAAAUGCUAUUGAUAGAUACUUCUGCUGAAACCAUGUACAUUAUAUGCUAAUAAAAUAAACUAAAAUAUGUCUUGUGUUCCUCUAAGUGCUUUGCAAAUAUCAACUCAUGUAACCUUCAUACAACCCUAUGUG